GACGAACGCUGGCGGCGUGCUUAACACAUGCAAGUCGAACGGAAAGGCCCUGCUUUUGUGGGGUGCUCGAGUGGCGAACGGGUGAGUAACACGUGAGUAACCUGCCCUUGACUUUGGGAUAACUUCAGGAAACUGGGGCUAAUACCGGAUAGGAGCUCCUGCUGCAUGGUGGGUGUUGGAAAGUUUCGGCGGUUGGGGAUGGACUCGCGGCUUAUCAGCUUGUUGGUGGGGUAGUGGCUUACCAAGGCUUUGACGGGUAGCCGGCCUGAGAGGGUGACCGGCCACAUUGGGACUGAGAUACGGCACAGACUCCUACGGGAGGCAGCAGUGGGGAAUAUUGCACAAUGGGCGGAAGCCUGAUGCAGCAACGCCGCGUGCGGGAUGACGGCCUUCGGGUUGUAAACCGCUUUCGCCUGUGACGAAGCGUGAGUGACGGUAAUGGGUAAAGAAGCACCGGCUAACUACGUG
rnacentral:rRNA from 1 species